AAUUUUAUAGUUUAUUAAGAAUAAUAAGUUGCAAUCUUAGGGGUUCCUACAAGGAUAAAAUUU
rnacentral:tRNA from 1 species